rnacentral:rRNA from 1 species
UACAGAGGGUGCAAGCGUUGUUCGGAAUUAUUGGGCGUAAAGGGUGCGUAGGCGGCUUCCUAAGUUUGAUGUGAAAUCCUGGGGCUCAACCCUGGAACUGCAUUGAAUACUGGGAGGCUAGAGUACUGGAGAGGAAACUGGAAUUUACGGUGUAGCAGUGAAAUGCGUAGAGAUCGUAAGGAAGACCAGUGGCGAAGGCGAGUUUCUGGACAGUUACUGACGCUGAGGCACGAAGGCCAGGGGAGCAAACGGG